rnacentral:lncRNA from 1 species
AUUUUUUUUUUUUUUUUUUGGUUAAAGUUUUAUAAAGUUUAUACUGGGAAAGCUCUAAUUCAGAGUCAAGCACUGAGAAAAGGCGAGCGCGCUGUCUUACGGACAGCUCUUGUUAUUGACCUGAUCACAAGCACGGCCUUAUACCCGCUUGAUCGUGAUGUCCAUCGUCUUCAAUCCGGAUAUCAGAUACAUUGUUUAUCCGGGUAAGAUUGGGUUAUUCACGUAUCAAUACUUCAAUCUGUAUUGUGAUUGGAUACCUAAGUUAAAACCGCGAAACACUUGUAUCUUUGCUUGCAUUGUAAUUUAAGAUCAUUAUGUAGAAAACAUGUUUAUUAACGUACUUAUACCAGUGGCGUACCUGGAUGAUUUCGAACUGUACGCCAGAUAUGAGCAGCAUAGCUACGAACCAAGCAGAGAUGCUUGAGUGUGGAGUAGGUGAGGGAGGGAGUCUCCAGCUCCCGGCGGAAUUGGUUUUUGGGGCCUCCCCUUGAAAAUGUUCUUUUUUUUCGGCAAGUCCGUACUAAUAUUCAUUAAUAAUUUUAUAUAAGGUUUUAAAAUGUUUAAUAUCUAUUUCGCAGAUUUUUCCUUGAAUUACUUCGAUACAACGAUAAAUAACAAAAUGAAUUAUGCCAGACUUAAAAUGUUGAAAAAUCAAGAGUUCUAUAAAUUACUCUAUACAAUACACUCCAGGACACAACAACUUUAAAUCAACAGUAACAGUGGAUAUAUAACUACGUUUCAAAAUAUUUGCGUCACUAAAACACUAUGUCAUUCUAUGAUAUAUUUUAUUGUGCAAGUGCCAAGACCCGCGCAGGCAUAUUGUGUAUCGCCGAAGGGUCCUAACAAUGUGUCUAUUAGGGUAACUUCAUCUUAACUCUAACCUAAUCCCAACUGCUACACAUGUGAACAAAUCGCAUAUUCGAACCGUGUGCAAAGCUGUUAUUAUCAUUAUUUAUUUAUUUAUUUGUUUAUUUAUUUAAUAUUCUCUAUAAUUUGAAGAUUGCAUAGGCGAUGAUUUACUAAUUUUUUGUUGUAAUCGUUUUUGAAAUCUUCGUCAAUGUUUAAUGUAAUGCAUGACUUCUGCAUCGGUAUUUUGACAGGUUUUUGAUAAAUGCAUCUACCUACACAUCGCAAACAUUUCAAGUUUUCUCACGCGAAACGUAACUUUUUUCUAGUUAACGUAAACAACAUCUAAUAUUGGCAAAAUGGUUUUUCGGUAUCCAGAUUUGGAUAUAGAUUAACAGAUUUAAUUGCUACCAUUAACAAGGCAGCUAUAAUCCAAGUGUUACAUUUUAACGAUUACGUUGGUGUAAAUACUUAGAGGGUCUUGCUGUUGUUGUUUUCUUCACAGUCAAUUUUCAGCCAAUGUUGUGCAAUCAGCCACCUCUCAAGAAAGACCAUUGUUCUGAUAUUGGUAAAGGUGAGACUGUACGAAACCUGCACUAAGAUAAUAGAGCAAGGAUACUUAAAAAUGCAAGUCACCUUUGUUCAAAGGUCAGUCGUUUGCCUUACUGUUAGGUGGCAUUUGUAAAAACCUUUGCCUAUAUUAUGCAUUAGAUGUUUAAAUAUUUCGAGAAAUAUUAUAUAUUGUAUAUUAUGUAUUGCAGUCUUUUUUCGAGCUCUUUCUCAGUUUCAAAUCCCUGGGUCCUGUGCAAGGGCUUUUGGGUUUAAUCGACGUAUUACAUUUGGAUAUUACGAGAAGAAAGAGAGAAAAGAACAAUCUGAUGAAAUUUUUUACUCUCUUUAGUAAAAUGCAGACCUUCAUUUCUAGCGUUUCGUUAUUUCAUAUCAAUGAGGCAGUUGCUAUUUUUUGUUUGUACCUUUUGACAGUCUACUUUUACUUAUUUUAGAAUUUCUAUGCUCAAAAUGGUAUGGCCACGGAUCAAAGAUGAGUCUGCGAACUCGGUGGAAAGAAUUGCUCAGAUGAGAAAUCUUAUUGGAUCUUGCAAAGCCGUUGUUGGGACGUGUCCUGUCGGCUCCUGUUCAACUAGACCUCAUUUCCAGAUUUUUAAUUGUCCUAAUGAUGGAUAUGUCUGCCUCGAGACAGAGAUUCGAACUGCAGACUGCGGAAUGUUUGGUCUCAGGGAAUACCAACACGUUACCCAGUGUAAAUGCUGCACUGAUAAUGGUAUCUACAUAACGGUGAUAGUCGUUGAUCAGCCACAGUGAAACCAUUGAGUUAUAUAAAGAUAAAUGUUUCAAAGGGACCUCGGACCGACACUGAUCUUGAGUGAGUAUUUAAUACAACUAUAUUUGUUCCAAUUUACAAUUUGUUGUCAUAAGAGUCAAAGAAUACAUAGAAGCAGUAAAAAUCGUAAACAUACCAGAAUGAUUUCGCGGCCCAGUAAAUGUUAAGCUUGCAAUGAUAAAGAAAUCAGCGUCAGUACAGAUAGACGCAACCGUUGGAGCAACUCUGACUCUGUCAGAUGAUCCAACAGUCAAUCUGCCCGAAACGCUUUUGUUCUCAUCGACCCAAAUUCUUUUACGGACAGAAAUGGAAAUCAAUAUAAUGGACCUGUUAGUGCAAGUGUAACUUUAAUAGACUCUAAUUAAGAUUCUGAAGCUGUAAUUCCAGGUCAUUUUCUAACUCCCAUGGGAGAAAGUCUUGAACAUUUGAUAUCCGACGGAAUAGUGUCCAUUGAAUUUAAGGAUAACAAAGGGGAUAAUUUGAACGUAAAGUCUAUAAAACUUAACGUAAGAGAAAAUAUGAGACUUGGGUUUCAACAGAAACACCGGAGUGUGGGAGCCAUCUAAAGUGUUUCCUAACAAACGUAAACGACAAGUUACUCUAACUGAAGAAUUCCUGAUCAAAGUUUCAAACGGAAGAUGGUACAACAUCGAUAAAAUACCAAAAGCUCCAAGAUGCUACAUUAAAGUCAGGAUCUUUAACGAAACCAGGCAUGAAGAAUUAACAGAAAGCGUUACGUCCUCAUUCAAACCGGAAAUAAUUGCAUAUACAGCAUAAAACCGACGACUGAGAUUGUAUGCCGGAUUUACAAGAUCUCCAAGCAAAACUUUAUACCAGGUACGAUGUCCAGAAGUUAGUAAUCCAGACAAAGCGUUAGCAGGAUUCACAAAACGCUGCUUUUCCAGUUUUCAAUUCGCAUUAUAAAAAAAAAAUACUUUGAUGUUUUUAAGCCGGACAAAUUGGUCGAAAGAUUCCAAUAUUUUAAAGUUCUAAACCUUUUUAACAUCUGUCUGCUUAUAUCAACACAAUUACUAUUCUGGAAGUGAUUUAAGGAUAUUUUGCAGAGCAUAUUAAGGUUCUACAUAGCUUAAUAAUUCAUUGAAGGACAAUAACGGAUGUAGUUGAACAUCCUCUUUACUUUAUUUGUCAUGAUUUUUAUCUUGAUAUUAUUUUGCCUUUAAUGGGAUCAGUUUCUCCCAAUGUCACUUGAACCUAUCUCUUUAUGUAUUACAUGACUUGAUAAACGUAGUAAAUAAAUAAGCCUGUGAAUUGAUAAAAACUAAUUGUAAACACAUUGAAGAAUUAACAAUAAAAACAAUAGAUCCAGUUAUAUAUAGCAUUCACUUGUUUUAUAUUUCUUUCUUUUCUCGAAACUACCUUGAGUUUUAAAAAUAUUUGUUCAGCAUUGUCUGUGUCUGCAUAACUUUAUUCGAAAUCAUAAAAUGUAUCAAAUUCUUUUUACUUCACCUAAAAUAUCCAAAAAUAUAUAAAUGAAAAAUUAUAAAAUAAAAAAAAAACAUACUAAUAGCCAAAGUUUUCAACAAUUUGUUUGUAUUAAUAUUCUGAUUGAACGCUUUACACUCAAAGCAUAAAAUGCUGCUAAACAACUAAUAAAAAAUGUAAUCUUUUUGUACUUAGUGUGAUACAUUGACACAAAUGUCAGAUAUUUUUUUGAAAAAUCAUACAGGUAAAAGGCUACGUGAUUUCAUGUAACAAUAUUUAGUCUAUAUUAUGCGUGGCCACUGACAGAAAAACCGCGAACCUAAAGGUAUCCCAGUAUGCAAUAUUUGUUCACAGUUUGUCAAGCAGAAACUAAUGUACGCACGAGGAUGAAAAGAAAACAUAUAGGGCUUGACUAGAACAAUAUCGCUUUUUAAAUAAGGAUCUGAUAAAAUAUUACGCAUUUUACUUAUGCAGAUAAGAUCAUAUAUUCGGACCAGUCAGCAUGAUGUUGUUAAAGCGUAUCAUAACACUAUACAGGUAUAGUUACAUUUAAAAGCCAAAUCAGAACGAGUGAUGCAUAAUGGUAGAUUAAAAAAAUGUGUAGUUCUCAUUUCCCUAAAAGUUUGCUCUGAAAAGUAUUUUAGUGCCUUAUUUUGGUUUAUCGUUUCAAAUAGAAAACUGGCAUAUUAUCAGUUGUCUUAAAAACUAUUUUUGACAAAGGGAAACUAAACAAUCCGACAUGAAACACUGAUGUAGAGUUUAUUACAAAUACAAAAUAUAGGUAUUGAAAGGAAUCAAAACAAAAGAUGAAUAAAAUUAUAAUCAGGCAACAUAUUUACAAUAUUCUUUACUCAUACAAACCUCUAAAUAUACCCAACAUUGUAAUAGUAAACAUUUUCCUAAUGUGCAACGAGCGCUUCGUUUUUCUGAAAUUCAAAUUGUACUUUCAAGACAUUUAUCAAAUCAAAAUUCUUAUUAAGAAGUCAAUGAACUCUAAGUAAACAUUCAAUGGAUUAUACUGCUCGGGAUAAGUUAAGUAAAAUUAGACAAUAAAUAAAAAAAA